rnacentral:lncRNA from 1 species
UUUUAUUUAGUUUUAUAAAUAAUUAACUAAGAUUCUAGUGAAAAUAUGCAUUUUGUGGUUAAAGUGUGAAAAUUGCAUUUCUAUUGAUUUUUAUGGUAAAAACUUCAUAUUUUGUAGGUUUAAUGAUUCAAUCAUCAAAUGAAGUGCAUUGAGAAAAUAUUUGGAUGAUUGAAGAUGGAUUAAAAUGGUGAAAAUAAAAUAUAAAGUGUAAAAGGAAAAAUGCAAUUUGAAUCAAGAAAAAGUCAGCUUUGACAAUUCAGACACAUUUUCGUAUUUUGACUAUAUCUGGAGCUACACAGAUCGGAUCAAGGUGAUCUUGGUACCAUUUUGAAACUAAGAGAUAUAUCUACAUUUGGUGUGAAGACAUCAAAGUCCAAUUCGGCUGUUUUCUUGGUCAAAAUGUCAAAAUACAGAAGUCAAAGUCUGCUGCUGAGAGCUGAAAACGCGGAAUUGACCAGUCAGUGGUAUUUUUAUCAUAUCUCGGUCUAGACAGCUCCAAAUUGGAUGAUUCUUGAGGCAUUGGACAGCUAUUUCAAUGGACUACAACUUCUAUGUUUUGUACAAGAGCUAAUUCAGUCGUCAUCAUAGAGAAAAUAGCAGUUGAAGUAGCCAGAUUCUGGUCAGAAAUAGCUGCUGGUACAACCUGUUUUCUCCUUCAACAAUUUACAGCUAUGGAUGAACGUAUGACAACCAAUUAGCAGCUGUAAAAGGGAUGUUUCAAGCCUCAUUUCCUGAUUGCAUUGAUCUAUAUAUAGCCAUGGACUUGCAGGAUUCAGAAAAAAACUUGGGAGAAGGCUAGAGAAACUCACCAGAAAUGUAGUUUUCACUAGAGUUUCCUUGGUUCAUUAGUAUAGUAUAGGUAGAGUAGUUUAUCCAUCUUGUAUUUGUAGUUAGAUUUGGAUGAAGAUUGGAGGGGCAAAGAUGAAGAGGUUGAUCUCAUGUGACAAGGGUGAUAUCUCUUCUACUACUUUCUCUCUUUUAUUGGAUUUCAUGUUUAAUUAUAAUACAAGUUGGCUUUGUGUUUUUAUUAUGUUUAGUUAAAGUUUAUGCCUAGAGUUAUGGUUGAACUUGCUAUAUUUUGUUAAUGAUGUUUAUUUGGUUAUUUGGUCAUAUUAUUUUGAGCAAGCUAUUUAUCACUUUUGGUUAUCUAAUCAUGAUUAACUGGCCAUUAAUUAUGAUAAUCUUAAGGUGUUAAGUUUGCAAUGAAAAUUGGAAUUUAACACUAGUUCAAAGAAGUGAUAAGCCUAGGGAGUACACUCACGAAAGUAGAGGUGCACCUAUGCGGCUUAAGUGACUUGUUUCAUGUAAUUUCAUAGAAGAAAUGAACUUGUAGUUAAUUUCAUAACCACGAGAGUAGGUAUGACUUAAUUACAAGUAUAGUUGAUUCACUACGAAAGUAGGUUUCACAUACAUUAGGAAAUUACGCCAUAACUAAUCAAGAUAAUAGCAUUCACUUAACCGAUAAUCUCAUUUGCAAGAGUAGUAAGGAAUUCCAUAUCUCUAGGAGCUUUCUAGUGUUAUUUUCUUAAAUUUUAUAUUUGUGGUAGUCUAAAUAAUAAAGGAGUUUGAAAACAUCAGUAAUUGCAUUCUUCCCUGUGGGAUCGACCCUUAAUACCCUAUACUCGCUCACGAUUCGUAUACUUGCGAUAAAUCGCGUGUGGGGUAUUUAGGAAUUUAUAAAUGUAAAACUUGAUUGGGAUGAGCUUAAUAUUAUAUGUAUACCCCGCGCACGUCAAGUUUUUGGCGCCGCUGCCGGGGAAAAUUUGGCAAUAUCGGUGUGAAGAGCAACUUUAUUAAUUUAGACAAUUUUUCUUAUUUUUAUUGUUUUUGCUGUAUCUUAUGUGUUUUAUGUCAUUUUUUUUUUUGAAUCAACUUUUAUUUUAUUUUAUUUUUUCUGUUUUAGUUUGUGUCUUGGAAUCUAUCCUUCUUAACUAAUCUUACUUUUGAGAUUGUUUAAAAGUAAUUUUAGAUAAUGAGGAGGGUAGGUGAAUUGGGAGGACAAUGCUUGAGAAAUGGAAGUUUGGCAAUGGAUGGUUACCAAGUGCAAAGCUCCUUCAACAGAGGUAACCAAGAAUUUACUGAAGAUAUGUUUUUUGAAAAUGGUUUAAGGUGCUUAAAAGCUAAAUUUGAUGUUAUGAUGUUACAAGUUUAAAUGGACACAAUUAAGCAUGAAAUUGAGCAAGGGAGGAAUGUUAAUGCUUUUAAUUCUUAUCAUGUGAUUUGUGACUUGUGUGGAGGUUAUCAUGCUACUAAUACAUGUAUGCAAGUACAAAAUGUGGAUUAUUAUUAUGAAUUAGAGCAUUACAAUCCUUGUUUUGAUCAAUAUAGUGCUAAUUGGAGCAAUUCUCCUGCUUAUGGUUGGGAUAAUCAAUUUACUUAUAGUAAUUCUUCAUAUUUUUACGAUUACCAACCUGAAUGUGUCCAAUAUGAAUCAAAACCAUCUUGGGAGUUGGCAAUUGAAAUGGUAGCUAAUGAUUCUAAGCCAUCUUGGGAGUUAGCUUUAGAAAAAUUAGCUAUUGCAACUUCUGACCGUUUUGACAGGAUUGAGGAAAGAAUAGAUGAAUUAGCUUCUCACUUUGGUAGAAUACAUGAGCAAUUGAGUGCAUUGUGUGAAGUUAUUUCGUCUAAUAAAUUGCAAAAUGAUCCUAGCAUGAAUGGUAGGAAUGUUGUAUGUGAAAAUGGAUUGCAUUUUGAUGAAAAUGAUGAAUCUCAAUUGUGUUUCAAUGAGCAAAUGUCCAUUUCACAUGAUAAUAUCUUUGGAACUAACUUUGAACCUCAAGAGGUGAGUUUUAAUGACUCAUUUUUCAUCCCUCUUGAGGAGUGCAUUGAAAGUAUAGGUUCUAAGGGUAUUGCUGCCCAAGAUACUCUCAUGACAUUUCCUUUGGUAAGUUUUCAAGUGGUAUAUAUUCAAAGUAAUAUCUAUGAAACACUUGGGAUAGGUAAGCUACUUUCAUCUCUCACAUCAUUAGAACAUGUGACUUUUACUAUAAAGUCACCUUUUAAUGAUCCACCACGAUCUAAAAUGGUGGAUUACUCUUUAACCAAACCUCCUUGAAAAAUGAGGUUCAAUAGUCGAGCCAACGACUAUAAAUAAAAGCGCUUAUUGGGAGGCAACCCAAUGUUUUGGCUAUUUAUGUUAUUUUUGUGUGAUUUUAUGUUUGGAGUAUGUGUUUGAGUUAUUUCAUUAUUUUUCAUUUAUAGGUAUCGGAAAUGAAAGCAAAAGUGACCAAAUGAGGUGAAAAAGACGAAAUUUGAUCAAGGAACUCAACCCCUCGAUUUGAGUAAUUGUUGUUUUUGAUUCGUUACAAGGGGUUAAAAUGCAUGUUUUGAUCAUUUUACAUGUGCAUGCAUUGAGAAUUUUAGCAAACAAAUGAUCUAUGAUGCAUUUUGAGUGAUUGAGGUACCAAUGGUAAUUUUUCAAAGUUGGCUUUCUGCAAAAAUUUCGCAGAAGAAAACGUAUUUGGGCUGAAAACGCGCCUUAGAAUCGCGUUUUCCAUAAGCGCGUUUCUAAUUCUGCGCCCUCACUGAAGAAAACGCGCUUCGAAACGCGCGAUGAAGUCGCGUUUUCUACAAAGUCGCGUUUUCCAGCCUGUUCAGAAACCAGAAACGCGCCUUCAAAUACGCGACUUAAACUCGCGUUUUCUCAUGUAGUCGCGUUUUCUAUGCUGCAAAUUUUGUGAAGAAACGUGAUUUCACAAAACGCAGCUUUAGGCGCGUUUUAUUGAGCCGCGUUUUCUGAGCACAUUUUUUAAAAAAAAAAAAUGCAGUUUUCUUGAUUCUCUUUUUCUUCUUUUCCUCAUAUAUUUUCUUGUACCUUGAGUUGCUUAUUGUGUAUUUUCUAUAGGUACAUCACCACCACAAGGGCUUAGGAAUUGCGGAUCGCCGUUAUAUGUUUAUUAAGCCUUUGUUAUCACUUUUGUUUCUCAUUUUCCAUUUUUAGGUUUAUAUCACUAAUGGUUACCAAAUGGAACUCAUGAAGCGAUGAAGAUAGGCGAACAACGUACCUUGAAGCUUCAUAUUCAAUCACAUCAUAGGGGAGUAUUACUUUCUUUAUCUUGAUUUUCCUUUUCACACAUUGAGGACAAUGUGCAUGUUAAGUGUGGGGGGAAGAAUUGAGAUUAUAUAUAUACAUUGUAUGUGAUUGAAUUAUUAGUUGCAAAUAUUGGACUUGUGUUAAAAUUCAAAAUUUUCUACAAUCUUGUCCAAAAUUGCAAACUUGCCCCAAAAAAAGUUUCAAUUUUUUUCGAUUUUAUCCAAAGGGGUAACAAGUUUCAUACCAUUAGUAGUUCAAAUUUCUUCUACAUUUGAGAUAAAUAUAUGUGAUUUGGAAACUUCUUUUAUCAUUUAACUUGGAAAUGACUAUUAUGUGAUUAUAAUUUUUGCAUUUGUAGGAAAGUAUAUCUUUUAAAGUGGAGAAAAUUAUGCCUAUAUUUUUUUGCAUAUUUGAUGAAAUUUCUUCGCUUUAUUGGAUUUUAUAAGUUAAGUGAUAAAUAUGGUCAAUAAUUGCAAUACUCUUCUCAUGAUUAUGCUUUCGAGGGAAUGUUAUUAUCUUUACUUUAAAAAAAAAAAUAAAUGAAAAAAAAAGAAGAAAAAAAAAAGAUUUAUUCUACUCCAAUGAUUCUUGUACUUAGUAACCGGGUGUCUUCAUCUACAAAUGUCGACUUUCGCGUAAAAAGGUACUUGAAUUAAGAGUAUGCAAAGCAACUUGAGUAUGUGAAGUGUUGAGUAACCGGUGAUCUUCAUCUAAAAAUGUCGACACUCGCGUAAAAAGAUACUUUCACAACUUAAGUAAUAUUUAGCUAUAUUAUAUAAAUAAAUCCCUCUUUAAGUUAAAUAAGAAGAUGAUCAUGGGUUUAGGAAGCAUAUUAUUGGCCAUAUGAGUUACUUGCGUAUGAAAUUGGUUAAGGAUGAGAAAUUGACUUGAAUUUGUUAUAAUGGUGGUAUAAUUGGCUCUCCUUUACUUGAUAUUAUGAGUACUUGAAUUUAAUUGAAUAAUUGCAUAAUGGUUAUUUACUUUGUUUUGAGGAAAUGAAGUUGAAAUGCUACAUAUGUUUAUUUUCAAAUUUUGGAUCAUUGUUGGUUUGUAUUUCUUAUUGCUUGAGGACAAGCAAUGGUUCAAGUGUGGGGGUAUUUGAUAAGAGUAUAUUUUACGUAUUUUUAGUGUGCUUUAUUAAUUAGUUUUGGUGUGUUUUAUUUAGUUUUAUAAAUAAUUAACUAAGAUUCUAGUGAAAAUAUGCAUUUUGUGGUUAAAGUGUGAAAAUUGCAUUUCUAUUGAUUUUUAUGGUAAAAACUUCAUAUUUUGUAGGUUUAAUGAUUCAAUCAUCAAAUGAAGUGCAUUGAGAAAAUAUUUGGAUGAUUGAAGAUGGAUUAAAAUGGUGAAAAUAAAAUAUAAAGUGUAAAAGGAAAAAUGCAAUUUGAAUCAAGAAAAAGUCAGCUUUGACAAUUCAGACACAUUUUUGUAUUUUGACUAUAUCUGGAGCUACACAGAUCGGAUCAAGGUGAUCUUGGUAUCAUUUUGAAGCUAAGAGAUAUAUCUACAUUUGGUGUGAAGACAUCAAAGUCCAAUUCGGCUGUUUUCUUGGUCAAAAUGUCAAAAUACAGAAGUCAAAGUCUGCUGCUGAGAGCUGAAAACGCGGAAUUGACCAGUCAGUGGUAUUUUUAUCAUAUCUCGGUCUAGACAGCUCCAAAUUGGAUGAUUCUUGAGGCAUUGGACAGCUAUUUCAAUGGACUACAACUUCUAUGUUUUGUACAAGAGCUAAUUCAGCCGUCAUCAUAGAGAAAAUAGCAGUUGAAGUAGCCAGAUUCUGGUCAGAAAUAGCUGCUGGUACAACCUGUUUUCUCCUUCAACAAUUUACAGCUAUGGAUGAACGUAUGACAACCAAUUAGCAGCUGUAAAAGGGAUGUUUCAAGCCUCAUUUCCUGAUUGCAUUGAUCUAUAUAUAGCCAUGGACUUGCAGGAUUCAGAAAAAAACUUGGGAGAAGGCUAGAGAAACUCACCAGAAAUGUAGUUUUCACUAGAGUUUCCUUGGUUCAUUAGUAUAGUAUAGGUAGAGUAGUUUAUCCAUCUUGUAUUUGUAGUUAGAUUUGGAUGAAGAUUGGAGGGGCAAAGAUGAAGAGGUUGAUCUCAUGUGACAAGGGUGAUAUCUCUUCUACUACUUUCUCUCUUUUAUUGGAUUUCAUGUUUAAUUAUAAUACAAGUUGGCUUUGUGUUUUUA